rnacentral:tRNA from 1 species
CGGGGCGUAGCUUAGCCUGGUAGAGCGCUUGGUUUGGGACCAAGAGGUCGCGAGUUCGAAUCUCGCCGCCCCGACCA